GCGGAUGUGGCGGAAUUGGUAGACGCGCUAGAUUUAGGUUCUAGUUUUUUCGGAAGUGGGGGUUCAAGUCCCUUCAUCCGCA
rfam:Trichodesmium erythraeum IMS101, complete genome.